UCCCAAGGUAUGGUUUAGAUAACUCGAAUAUCACAUUUUCAGUGUUCGAUAUCUGAUGAGAUAUUCACGUUGUCUAAACCAUGGUUUGUU
rfam:Drosophila simulans chromosome X, whole genome shotgun sequence.